UACGUAGGGGGCCUAGCGUUGUCCGGAAUUAUUGGGCGUAAAGAGCUCGUAGGCGGUUCGGCAAGUCGGAUGUGAAAUCUCCACGCUUAACGUGGAGGGGCCAUUCGAAACUGCUGUGACUCGAGUCCGGUAGGGGAGUGUGGAAUUCCCGGUGUAGCGGUGAAAUGCGCAGAGUAUCGGGAGGAACACCAGUAGCGAAGGCGCUGCUCUGGGCCGGUACUGACGCUGAGGAGCGAAAGCGUGGGUAGCAAACAGG
rnacentral:rRNA from 1 species